rnacentral:lncRNA from 1 species
CUUUAAUAACACAAUGGCUGUCAAAGAGCUCAUAAGCCACUGGAACUGCUUCUGCAAUAAGUGAAGUCAAUGAAGAAAGCAAGAGGACUGCAAAGGUUUCCCUGCUGAUUCUGCCAACAAAAAUGUUUUUAUUGUGCUGCUUUGGACUUGGAAAAAAGAAACAGUGAAACAUUUCCAACUACAAUUUAAAGGAAUACAUGUUGUUUAUUUAAAACAUAAAUCAGCAAACAGAGAGACAUAAAAUUGCUAGUGGACUGCUUCAAGUUCAGAAACCACUGCCCUGGUAGAGGAGUUACCAGUGAUCAUGCAUCCUAUAGGAAUACGACUACAGUGGCCCUGAGCUGAAACAGCAUGCGUUCCAUGCUCCUUUGCAUAAUUUGCCUACUUCUUCUCAUAUUUUGUAAACAUAAAAUCUACUUCUGGUGUUAACUGAGCUUCGUCUUAUUACUUGUUAUUUCAUUACUCAUAUGUUUGUCGAAUAAA